GAGGGUAUAGCUCAGUGGUAGAGUGCAUGCUUAGCAUGCACGAGGUCCUGGGUUCAAUCCCCAGUAUCUCCA
rnacentral:tRNA from 1 species